rnacentral:rRNA from 1 species
GGACUACUAGGGUUUCUAAUCCUGUUCGCUCCCCACGCUUUCGUGCCUUAGCGUCAGAUACAUGCCAGCAAGCUGCCUUCGCCAUUGGUGUUCCUACCGAUAUCUACGCAUUUCACUGCUACACCGGUAAUUCCACUUGCCUCUCAUGUCCUCUAGCACUCCAGUAUGCAAUACAGUCCACAUGGUUGAGCCACGGGAUUACGCAUUGCACUUAAAGCGCCGCCUACGCACUCUUUACGCCCAGUGAUUCCGGAUAACGCUUGGACCCUACGUAUUACCGCGGCUGCUGGCAC